AAUGCAGAUUCUCAGCCCCCUCCCAGACUUGGUGAAGUCAGAAGCUGUCAGGGAGGGACUCAGCAAAUGAUUCUAAAGUACAUCAAGUUUGAGAACCACCCUAAGCCAAUGAGUCUCCCUUUUACUUCCCAUUAGUCUUACCCCACCAGAUGAUUCCUAGGACUCAUGGUGCAAGAUACAGGAGCCAGGCUUUAGGGAGGGGAGGAAAGGAGCCUGGCAGCAGGGGUCUCUGCAAUGGCAAGACAGUGAGUGAAUCCAGCGCUGCCACCUGGUCAUCCCCCUCUCGUUGAAAAUACCAGUGAGUGCAGGUGCAAAUUCCCAAACACAGCCUGCCUGCACUUGGUGUUACCUCGGGCUGAGGCACGAUAUUUUAUUUUUUAAAGCUGUGAGGAAAUGAAAGUGAGGCUUUGGUGGGGGUGGGGCAGUUGUGAAAGAAAUUAAAAUAAAAGACCUUUUGUAAAUGCAGACUUAGAAGAAAUACUGAAUUUGUGUCAGAAGUUCUCCAGUGUUUGUGUUAAUCGUGUGGUGAUAAUCCUGUCCUCCUUUUAAAGCAAAUUCUCUACUGAAAGGUCUGCUCUGCUUAAGGAGCUACAAACUGCUCUCAAAAGAAUGAAAUACUGAGUUCCAAUUCAGUGGGGCACAGUGUUGGACUAUGGCACAUUUAGUUGGAGUUGGGGGGAGGUCAGGAAUAUAAUCAGAUAUUGGAUUUUAUACCUUAGAGCAAAACCUAUUAGUCUCUCUCAGUUUAUCAAUUUAAAUGGCUUUAGGCAUAGAGGGGGUGUAAACUUUAAGAAUAUAAUUCUCCCAUUCAAGUUUACAGCAAACAUCUAGCCACCUUCAAAACAAAGAAGAUACAGACCAUCAUUUAGCAAUACUAAUACAUGAUUUUCCUUGGGGAUGGCAGGUUUGAGAAUCCUUUAGCAACAGGACAUACUUCCCCUAAAUUACAGUGAAUUAUUUAUAACGAGAUAAAGCUUUCAGGUACAAACUGAAGGUGGGGUGUCUAAAAACUAAAAACUAUCACUAAAUCUCAAAGAGAAAGUUCUUGGAAAAUAUGUAAAGUUCACAAGGUGCAGACAUUUUCCUUCUUUAGGCUUUUAUCUAAGGAAGGGCUAUGAAACUGGGCCCAUCUGUGUACAGGCUCAAAUUUACAUUUUUAAAGGAAGAAUCUAUGCAGCUGAGGCUUAUUGCAGGAAAUACUUCAUUUGUAUGUAAAUAUUAUUGUAAAUAAAUAGGAGGCUGUAUAUUUUUGAAGUUGUUGAUCCACACUGAAAUAGAAGUCUCUAGGACCUGCAUAUAAACAAUAAAUGUUUCCUAGAUAUUAGUGGUUUUGUUUGGGAAUUAGAAAAAUUUACAUUCUCUCCCAGGUAACAUAGUUCUCUGAAUGUAAACUUGGAACCUGAAACCCUACUUAAUUUAGAGAAAGAAAUGUCUGAGAAAUAGUUCCAUUGAUUUCUUAUGCUGGCAUUAAGAUCAAUUAUUUAACAGAUAGUCCUCUGAGAUACAAAUAAGGAAUAUUUAGACACAAAUCCUUGUCAUAUAGAAACAGAUAUACCCAAACGACAAAUUGUUUCUUCAUAAUGAUCUUCCAUUGUUAACACUGAUACCACUACACAGUACAUAUGAAAACAGAAGCUGGGGAGAAGAAUGUUUUUUUCACAAUUGAAUUGCUGCAUUUCUCAAACUUUGGGAUCUAUGAAAGCGGGGAGAGGGAACCUGAAUAUUAAUUAUGAGCACAAAUUUGAAGGAAGGAAAACAAAGAACCAUUAUCUAAUCAAGCUUUGAAAGUCCUGCAUGUUUGCCUUUUAUUUUAGUGUUGACGCCAACAUAGACUGUCUAAGGUAAUUUUUUCUCCAAACACUUGAAUCUUGGUCAUUGGUAUGUAAUCCACUCUCUAGAGUCCAGUGUACUUUAGACUUCAUCUGAGUCCAGUACAUGUACCACACUACUGUUUUGGUAAUGUAAAAACCUUGUAAAUGAAUUUCAGAUGGGUGAUUUAAGUGAGUCACAAGUCACAAAACUUUGCUAUUCAUAGUUAAUCAAAUAGAACUGGGUUUUUUUUUUUUUCAGGGUGUGGUGUAAAGAAAGAAAUAUAAGAAGUUCUGUUCUAUAACUGCUCUGUUAACAUAGUUUUUAAACAUUAAAAAAUAUGAACUAAAAA
rnacentral:lncRNA from 1 species